rnacentral:rRNA from 1 species
AUGGAUGAGUGUGCCUUCAUCUGCCUUAGCACGUCCAACCACAACAACCACUUGUAUCCGUGCCUAUAUAAAUUUUCUUGCCGCGCGCAUCUGCGAACAAAUCAAGAAGAAUAUCUUGGACCCUGGAUUGAAUUUUUUGUAAAGAAUUACGCAGAGACUCAUGAAGUUCUUUACAUGAUCAACGAGGUAUGCAAAGGGAAACUAAUUUUAUGGGAGAUCUUAUGCAGUAAUAGCACACAACUCUCCUUAUUUUCUUUAUAUAUCUUACAUCAAGUUCGCAUGCAGCAUGACACACCAUCUUGUCCAAGAUGA